rnacentral:rRNA from 1 species
UACAGAGGUCCCAAGCGUUGUUCGGAUUCACUGGGCGUAAAGGGUGCGUAGGCGGUCGGGUAAGUCUGAUGUGAAAUCUCCAAGCUCAACUUGGAAAUGGCAUCGGAUACUAUUCGGCUCGAGGAAUGGAGGGGAGACUGGAAUACUUGGUGUAGCAGUGAAAUGCGUAGAUAUCAAGUGGAACACCAGUGGCGAGGGCGAGUCUCUGGACAUUUCCUGACGCUGAGGCACGAAAGCCAGGGGAGCAAACGGG